CAGCUCCACCUGCACCAUCACACCUGCACCAGAUUACUGCAAUCACCACCUGCAUUUAAACCCUGCUGUGAGGCUUCUCCAGUGCCAGAUUAUUCCUGCAUCUGAUGUGUGCCUCCACAAGUCCCAGUGCCACCACCCUAUCUCUGCCACGCUGCCACACUCUCUCCCUUGAUUCACUCACCAGCCUCCUCCUCAAGCCCUCACGUCUCCAGCCUUCACCUCCCUCCUCAUGCCUUGGACCCUGGAUCCCUUCCCUCCACCUUUUUUCCCUUCAGUAAAUUCACUUCACUGCUUCA